rnacentral:rRNA from 1 species
UAAUACGUAGGGUGCGAGCGUUGUCCGGAAUUAUUGGGCGUAAAGGGCUCGUAGGCGGUUUGUCGCGUCGGGAGUGAAAACACCGGGCUUAACUCGGUGCUGGCUUUCGAUACGGGCAGACUAGAGGUAUUCAGGGGAGAACGGAAUUCCUGGUGUAGCGGUGAAAUGCGCAGAUAUCAGGAGGAACACCGGUGGCGAAGGCGGUUCUCUGGGAAUGUCCUGACGCUGAGGAGCGAAAGUGUGGGGAGCGAACAGGAUUAGAUACCCUGGUAGUCCACACCGUAAACGUUGGGCGCUAGGUGUGGGAUCCAUUCCACGGGUUCCGUGCCGCAGCUAACGCAUUAAGCGCCCCGCCUGGGGAGUACGGCCGCAAGGCUA